GAGGGUAUGGCUCAAGUGGUAGAGCGCAUGCUUAGCAUGCAUGAGGUCCUGGGUUCAAUCCCCAGCACCCCCU
rnacentral:tRNA from 1 species